rnacentral:tRNA from 1 species
AGUAAGAUCAGCUAAUUAAGCUCUUGGGCUCAUACUCCAAAAAUGAGGGGCACACCCUCUCUUACUA